GAGCAGCUGGGUGUGCACCCCGGGGCUUGGCUUGCCGUGGCUGCUCAGGAGUCACGGGUUGCUCCGUGCUCGGCUCUGGCAAGCAGCCCCGAUUCCCUUCUGGGUACCCCCAGUCUGGAGGCGGGACAGCGUCCUGCAGGAGCAGCAGCUGCUCUUGUACUGCAGUUACAAGAUUUAUGGCAUUCCUGAAAUUAUCGAUAACCUAUAGGGAUGCUAUGGAGAGAAAAACACUCAGAAAAUUCAUGCAGGAGACACCUGAACAGACCUGAAUGCAACAAACCAGAAAAAGUGAUUGCUCUCCAUUUUUAACACAAGCAUCAACAUCACAAAAAAACUCCAACUCUCAGUUAUGAUCACAAAAUUCCUGCCUGUCAUUGCUUUGGCAGCUCUGUCCCACAGAACUGCUUUAUUUUAGAUUCCUUACCUCCUGUGUUUUGAAACUUUGGACCUUUAUUUGGGAAAUUAACAUGUUUAUGCAACUGAAAACAUCAAAGAAUGUUCCGGGAUGCUGCCCUUACACUGAGUGGUGAAAACAUUUGUGAACUGUAUUUCUGUUUUUAAUAUUUUGUUGUCUUUUCCUUUCUCGGUGAAAUUAAUUUCAAUAAGUUAAUGAUAUUGACCUCUCUUUGUAGGAUUUGUCUUUUAAGACACAAUACAUGUACAUUUACCUUCCAGUUCCAGUACAGGGAUUGUGCCAGCUAAUGAGUCUGCACUCUUUUAAGGCUAGGAUUUCAUAUAAUAGGAGCUUUUAAUAGAAACAGGUUUUUGUAGAAAAGUAUUGCAGAAAAAUAGAUCUCUUCAGUGUUUCACUUCUGCCAGGGACAGGUGACUGUAGGUUUAUUCGUAUCACUUUUCCACUUCCAUGAGGGUUUGUGGGGAUUUGUCUGUCUGUUUUACUGGGGAGAAAAGGGAGCAGCAGUUUUUAUCCUCUGGAACUCAGAAGCCGUAUCCAGCGAGUGUGUUGAAGCCUGGCUGCUGUUCUCCCCUCUGUGUGUGGCAGGCUGGCGCAGUGUGCAGCGUCACCCAGCAGUGUCAAUGCCCUUCUCUUGCAGCUGCAGGGGGCCAGGAGCCACAGCGGGCUGGGAGCAGCUCCCCGACGCUGGAUGAGGCCGCGGGGCCGUGGGCAGGCGCUGACAUCGCCGAGGAUGACCUGGACAUCAUCCCUCCCUCCCCUGAGGAGGAGGAGCUGCCGCCCUUCUCCCCCUCUGCACAGAGCGCCGGCAGUGUUUUCAGAGACUCUCCCACUGGAGGAAGGUGCACACCUGGCAUCUCUGAGGCCAGGCAGGAGAAAGUUCCCUCAGCACAUCCUGGUGAUGCCAGUGCAGGAGAUUCAGGUGAGGCCGUGCCGGUGGCGCCGC